ensembl:lncRNA
CAACUGUAACAGAUUUAGCUCUAUUUGUGUGGUGAUCCAAGACAAUUUCAACAGACUUGGGAUGGAAAAUUUCAGUCACAUCCAGAGAACCAUGAAGAAUGAAUAUGGAUCAAAACAAAGUGUUUUCACCAUUUUGUUUUUUUCUUUCUUGUGUUUCCCCACCUCCUCCCCCCCCCCCCCAUUAGUCUGAUUUUUCUUGCAUUGACAAACAUGUAAAUAUGUUUAAAGGAUAGCACAUAUUUAACCUGUAUUAGAUUGCUUGCUGUCUUGGGAAGGGGGAAGAUGAGGAAAAUUUUGAACAUCAAGUUUUACACAACUGAAUGUGAAAAACUAUCUUUACAUGUAUUUGGAAAAAUAAAAUACUAUUGAGAAAAAAAAAAGUCCCUGCCCAGGAGGAGCUUACAUUCUAUUAGGGGAAACAGUAUGUAUAUGUUAGCUUAAUUUGGUCUCAUUCCAAGUUUUCUUUAAAUGUGUUUUUCUCUCUACUACUGAGUCAAUACCAUUGAAAAUCUCCCACUCUCCUCCUCAAGAUUAUGUAAAAUAAAUUCACAUUCUAAAUUGCUAUUUCUCUGUUACCAUGCCUGAUUGGCAAAGAGAUUGAAUAUUUACUGACCAUGGUGGUUUUCUGUGCUUUUAGCCUCAUAGUUGUGGCAGUUCAUCGAUACUGGUUAAACUCACGUGGAAAAUGGACACAGUUGAUGUUAAUGUCUUUUCCUUUAUCCAGUUUCCAUUUUUACCAGUCAAUAGAUUUCUUUGAAUAAGCCAAGUUGAAAAUGUUGUAAUGGCACAUAGUAUUUUCUUCUCAUCUUUAUCCUUUCUUCUAAUUUGGUCCACUUUGAUUUUUACUGGAUAACAAGGGUCUGACCACAAGGAAAAGCUGAUUGGGAAUUGACUUUUAUAUUAGUAACCAAUCAUUUCCUGUCUAUUAAGGCUAACAUCUAGUGUGUGGUUCCGUAAUUUUAUUAGUUUAGGAAAUUUCCAGAUGAAGAAAUUUUCUCCAUCAAUAAAAACUAGCAUCUUCUUUGUAAAUUAGUCCUAGAUAUCUGCCUACAGCACCGAGUGGUUAAAUGAUUUGCCCAGUCACAGUCAGUAUGGUCAAUUAAUAUUUAAAACUAUGUCUUCCUAGCUUUGAGGUCAGCUCUCUUUUCAUUAUGCUGCUGACUCUCUCUUAUUAAAGCUACCAAAUUACAGUUUUGUGAUGUUCAGUGUUCACCACGUCUAGUAUUUCCAAUUCUCUUUGUAAACCAUUUAUGAUAGGCUUGAGGUUACCGUAUAGCCUUUGGACUCACACUUCCUAAUUUGGAACCACCAUUUCCAAUGUUCCUUUUUGCAUUCAAAUUGUUAUAAGGACUUGGGGAAUAUUAUUGAAUUCUUUAUAAAUUUUCUCUACCAUCUAAUGCAGAAAAUAUAAAAGUUGCAAUGGUCUUUAUGAUGGUCCUUUUUUGUAUAUUUAUCAUGAGCACUACGCACUACAAGGCAAGAUGAUCUUGUAUCCCAUGAAAUGUUUAUCGACUCUGAGCAUUCAAUGAAACCAAAUCCUCAAAAAUCUAACUCCAAAGUCUCACAGUGGAAUGGAGGUGAGGGUAUCCCGAGUUGUCAAACACACCACUAGGGACAAAUGCUUUGAAUAUGAUACUAGCAACACUGAGUUCAUUUUGUCCAGUCUAGCUAAAUACAGCCUUCCCACAAGUUGCGUGGUCACUAAUUAGUUAAUUGACUAGGACAACCCAUGAAACAAAUUAAAAUACAAAAUGGUCUUCUGCCCUAGGGAAAAGUAUCUUCUGCUGUAUCUGUUGUAAAAUGGUGGAAAGGAGCUAAAAAGCCUAAAUGAUCCAAUAAUUUUGCACUAUAUUAACAGUAAUUUGUUUUUGUACCCUUUAAGUUGGUAUAGUUCCUAUUUAGUACAUGCAAAGAAAUUUAACUUCUCUAAAACUAUCUUUGAGCCUUUUUGUUCUUCUCUAUAAACAAGACGGUAAUGAAGUAGAAAAGAACGAGCAAGAGGUUUAGAGCCAAGAGACCUGGAUUCAAAUGCUGCCUCCAUUUUGUGACUUUGAGCAGGUUAUUUAACCUUUCUUGGCUUCAAUUUUAUCUUCUGUAAAAUAAAGUUUUUGAGUCUUAAACUCCCUUCCAGUUCUAACUGUGUUUGUGCUUGAUAAGUCAAAAGUAAUGCAAAAAAUAUAAAACAUAUCAAAAAUACAAAAAUGAUAUUUGAAGAGACUGUGCAUAAAUGUCAAGGCAAAGAGAACCUAAACUUAAAAACUCACCAGCUACUAUCCAACAAAAUAAUUCACUGCUUGCCAUGUCCAAAAUAACUAGGUUAAUCCCCAACCAAAGUGGUUUAAAAUCAUUUUGCUGCAUAGAAAGUCAAAAGAAGAUUCUAAUUCACUUAGAUAAUACAGUGCUAUUUUGCUAGAAGUAUCUGCUUUUGUAUAAAAAUUUUGUUCAUUAGGAGGAUUAUAUACAAGCUGCUCAUUAUUUUCAUCUCUCCUACUGGUAGUAACAUAAUCAGGUGAGCAGGGAACAGUUAGAAGAGAUCUUAAGCUUUACAAUAUGGUACUUACAACAGUCUAUUUGAAUAAGAGAAUUUGCUCAAAGUAUAGAUGCCAUUUAUCCUAUAGGCCAAAUGUCCUGGUUAUACUUUUAUUUUUCAGUUUUUGGAUCCUUUUUGUUUAACAUCAUAAUCUUUCCCUAAUGUUCUCCCUUUAAUCCCAUGGAAGCCUCCCCUUAUACCUUUAUUAUUUUUGUGAUAUUUAUUUCAUUAGUCUUUAGGAAGGAAUUAUUAACAGGAAAACAAAGGAACCAUAAAUCAGUUUGAACUUGGGUCCCAGACUUAACUGAAAACACCUAUUUGUAGACCAAUUUAGCAUAUGGUAAUAAAUCCUAAAUCUGAGGGUAAAGUUCUUUGACAAUCUACAUGUCAACAUAAAUAGACUGAGGAGGAUUCAAAGAUAUCCAAAACAAAGACAAAAUAUUUCAUUUGAAAUCUUAGAAAUCUUUCAUAUAACCUUCUUUUCAUCCCUUCUAAGUCAAGUUUACUGGCAGAAAAAAAGCCCAAAUUGAAAGCACUAACUUUAGAAAAAAACAACUUAUAUUCAUAAAAGGGCAAUUCCCUGACAAAGAUGUGUAAUAAAAGCUGGCAUCUAAUCUUUUGAAACCCACACAAUGGUUAUAACUAAUGAAAUGUUCCCCCAAAUCUAACUCCUACUACCACUCUUCCUUUGAUCCAUAGGCAAAGGAAACAUAUUCUGAAUGUGUAGGUACCAUAAGAUCAAAAAAGGUGCUACUGUUAAAGAGAUAUUUUCAUUCUACCACUUAUAUGUUUGGAAUCCAAUGUUAAAGAUGUUAAAGAUGCACUGUCCAGAGGAAAUGUACUGUCAACUUUUGGAAAAAUUCAAAAGUGGCGUAAGAAUUAAACGGUCCAUGAGAUGACUGCAAACAUUCUACACAGAAAGAUCUUUCAAAAAGCCCAAAUACAGAAUUCAUUCUUUUUGCUUAAAGUGCAGGAGGUAGUAAAAAAUUUCAAAUUUAAUAAAUUUGAAAUUUUUCUCUUUUCUAAACUCUCUUUUUUAACCCCCUCUAUUUUUAGACAUACUUCUGUGAAAAAAACACUUCAAACAAUUGUUCCUUAUUUUGUGUGUGUGUGUAAA